rnacentral:rRNA from 1 species
UACGUAGGGAGCAAGCGUUGUUCGGAUUUAUUGGGCGUAAAGGGCGCGUAGGCGGCCACGCACGUCCGUUGUGAAAUCGCCCGGCUCAACUGGGCGGGGUCAGCGGAUACGGUGUGGCUCGAGCAAGCUAGGGGCAAUGGAAUUCCCGGUGUAGUGGUGGAAUGCGUAGAUAUCGGGAGGAACACCAGUGGCGAAGGCGGUUGCCUGGAGCUUUGCUGACGCUGAGGCGCGG